rnacentral:misc_RNA from 1 species
GUAGGUGAACCUGCGGAAGGAUCAUUACAGAGUUCACGCCCUUUUAGGGUAGACCUCCCACCCUUGUGUAUUAUAUUACAGUUGCUUUAGCGGGCCAUAGGCUCUGCCUGUACCGGCUCCGGCCGGGCGCGCCCGCUAGAGGACCCCAAACUCUGAAUGUCAGUGUCGUCUGAGUACUAUAAAAUAGUUAAAACUUUCAACAACGGAUCUCUUGGUUCUG